rnacentral:rRNA from 1 species
AUUGAACGCUGGCGGCAGGCCUAACACAUGCAAGUCGAGCGAGCGGCGGACGGGUGAGUAAUGUCUGGGAACCUGCCUGAUAGAGGGGGAUAACUACUGGAAACGGUGGCUAAUACCGCAUACCAUCAGAUGUGCCCAGAUGGGAUUAGCUAGUAGGUGAGGUAAUGGCUCACCUAGGCGACGAUCCCUAGCUGGUCUGAGAGGAUGAUCAGCCACACUGGGACUGAGACACGGCCCAGAAUCCUACGGGAGGCAGCAGUGGGGAAUAUUGCACAAUGGGCGCAAGCCUGAUGCAGCCAUGCCGCGUGUAGGAAGAAGGCCUUAGGGUUGUAAAGUACUUUCAGCGGGGAGGCGUUACCGGCAGAAGAAGCACCGGCUAACUCCGUGCCAGCAGCCGCGGUAAUAC